AUUUAAGUCUUACCUGCCCAAUGAAUAUUAAAUGGCCGCGGUAAUUUGACCGUGCAAAGGUAGCAUAAUCAUUAGUUUUUUAAUUGAAAACUGGAAUGAAUGGUUGGACGAGGAAAUAACUGUCUCUAUUAAAAUUUUAUUAGAACUUUACAUUUAAGUUAAAAGGCUUAAAUAAUUUUAAAAGACGAGAAGACCCUAUAGAGUUUAUAUAUUUUUAAAUUUAUAUUUGUUUUAGAAUCUUUAUUAAAUAUAAUAUUAAAAGUAUUUGGUUGGGGUGAUUUAAAAAUUGAUUGAACUUUUUAUAAAGUAAUACAUAGAUGAAUGAAUUUGUGAUCCAUACAUAAUGAUUAAAAGAUUAAAUUACCUUAGGGAUAACAGCGUAAUUUUAUUUGAGAGUUCUAAUCGAAAAUAGAGUUUGCGACCUCGAUGUUGGAUUAAAAUUAAUUGUUGGUGAAGAAGCUAAUAAGUUUGGUCUGUUCGACCUUUAAAAUUUUACAUGAUCUGAGUUUAAACCGGCGUGAGCCAGGUUGGUUUCUAUCUUUAAUAAGAUUUAAUAUUUUAGUACGAAAGGACCAAGUAUUAGUAAUAUUUAUUUGUUUAGAUUAUUAGUG
rnacentral:rRNA from 1 species